rnacentral:rRNA from 1 species
AGCAGCCGCGGUAAUUCCAGCUCCAAUAGCGUAUAUUAAAGUUGCUGCAGUUAAAAAGCUCGUAGUUGAAUUUCGGGGUUAGUAGGCUGGUCAUGCCUCCGGUAUGUACUGGUCUCACUGAUUCCUACUUCCUGACGAACCUUAAUGCCAUUAAUUUGGUGUUUCGGGAAAUUUGGACUGUUACUUUGAAAAAAUUAGAGUGUUUAAAGCAAGCUAACGCUUGAAUACAUUAGCAUGGAAUAAUGAAAUAGGACGUUCGAUCCUAUUUUGUUGGUUUCUUAGGAUUGACGUAAUGAUUAAUAGGGAUAGUUGGGGGCGAUUAGUAUUCAAUUGUCAGAGGUGAAAUUCUUGGAUUUAUUGAAGACUAACUACUGCGAAAGCAUUUGCCAAGGAUGUUUUCAUUAAUCAAGAACGAAAGUUAGGGGAUCGAAGACGAUCAGAUACCGUCGUAGUCUUAACCAUAAACUAUGCCGACUAGGGAUCGGAUGAUGUUAAUUUUUAAUGUACUCAUUCGGCGCCU